rnacentral:miRNA from 2 species
UAGAAAGGGAAAUAGCAGUUG